rnacentral:misc_RNA from 1 species
UCCGAUUUGAAUAUCGGCGGUCUCACUAGAGUCCCCACCAUAACGUGCUGGCAACAUGAGACAAGGGUUGCGCUCGUUGCGGGACUUAACCCAACGUCUCACGACGCGAGCUGACGACAGCCAUGCACCACCUGCACACAGGCCACAAGGGAAUACCUAUCUCUAGGCACGUCCUGUGCAUGUCAAACCCAGGUAAGGUUCUUCGCGUUGCAUCGAAUUAAACCACAUGCUCCACCGCUUGUGCGGGCCCCCGUCAAUUCCUUUGAGUUUUAAUCUUGCGACCGUACUCCCCAGGCGGAAUGCUUAAAGCGUUAGCUGCGCCACUAGUGAGUAAACCCACUAACGGCUGGUAUUCAUCGUUUACGGCGUGAACUAC